rnacentral:rRNA from 1 species
ACUGCCGGUGAUAAACCGGAGGAAGGCGGGGAUGACGUCAAGUCCUCCAUGGCCCUUACCAUCCCGGGCUACACACGUGCUACAAUGGCAGGUACAGAGGGCUGCGAAGCCGCGAGGUGGAGCGAAUCCCAGAAACCUGUCUCAGUCCGGAUUGAAGUCUGCAACUCGACUUCAUGAAGGCGGAAUCGCUAGUAACCGCGAAUCAGCAGGUCGCGGUGAAUACGUUCCCGGGCCUU